GACGAACUUUGGCGGCGUGCUUAACACAUGCAAGUCGAACGGAAAGGCCCUGCUUUUGUGGGGUGCUCGAGUGGCGAACGGGUGAGUAACACGUGAGUAACCUGCCCUUGACUUUGGGAUAACUUCAGGAAACUGGGGCUAAUACCGGAUAGGAGCUCCUGCUGCAUGGUGGGGGUUGGAAAGUUUCGGCGGUUGGGGAUGGACUCGCGGCUUAUCAGCUUGUUGGUGGGGUAGUGGCUUACCAAGGCUUUGACGGGUAGCCGGCCUGAGAGGGUGACCGGCCACAUUGGGACUGAGAUACGGCCCAGACUCCUACGGGAGGCAGCAGUGGGGAAUAUUGCACAAUGGGCGGAAGCCUGAUGCAGCAACGCCGCGUGCGGGAUGACGGCCUUCGGGUUGUAAACCGCUUUCGCCUGUGACGAAGCGUGAGUGACGGUAAUGGGUAAAGAAGCACCGGCUAACUACGUGCCAGCAGCCGCGGUGAUACGUAGGGUGCGAGCGUUGUCCGGAUUUAUUGGGCGUAAAGGGCUCGUAGGUGGUUGAUCGCGUCGGAAGUGUAAUCUUGGGGCUUAACCCUGAGCGUGCUUUCGAUACGGGUUGACUUGAGGAAGGUAGGGGAGAAUGGAAUUCCUGGUGGAGCGGUGGAAUGCGCAGAUAUCAGGAGGAACACCAGUGGCGAAGGCGGUUCUCUGGGCCUUUCCUGACGCUGAGGAGCGAAAGCGUGGGGAGCGAACAGGCUUAGAUACCCUGGUAGUCCACGCUGUAAACGGUGGGUACUAGGUGUGGGGUCCAUUCCACGGGUUCCGUGCCGUAGCUAACGCUUUAAGUACCCCGCCUGGGGAGUACGGCCGCAAGGCUAAAACUCAAAGGAAUUGACGGGGCCCCGCACAAGCGGCGGAGCAUGCGGAUUAAUUCGAUGCAACGCGUAGAACCUUACCUGGGUUUGACAUGGAUCGGGAGUGCUCAGAGAUGGGUGUGCCUCUUUUGGGGUCGGUUCACAGGUGGUGCAUGGCUGUCGUCAGCUCGUGUCGUGAGAUGUUGGGUUAAGUCCCGCAACGAGCGCAACCCUUGUUCACUGUUGCCAGCACGUUAUGGUGGGGACUCAGUGGAGACCGCCGGGGUCAACUCGGAGGAAGGUGGGGAUGACGUCAAGUCAUCAUGCCCCUUAUGUCCAGGGCUUCACGCAUGCUACAAUGGCUGGUACAGAGAGUGGCGAGCCUGUGAGGGUGAGCGAAUCUCGGAAAGCCGGUCUCAGUUCGGAUUGGGGUCUGCAACUCGACCUCAUGAAGUCGGAGUCGCUGGUAAUCGCAGAUCAGCAACGCUGCGGUGAAUACGUUCCCGGGGCU
rnacentral:rRNA from 1 species